AUAACGAAUGUGCUUGAAUGUGCUUGAAUGGAAACAAAAAAUUCAUCCCGAUUUAUUCUGUGGCGUUUAUAACCCAGCCGAGUGACCACCGAUCCAAAAGAAAGCCUUUUGGAUUUGGUCUGUCGAUAGUCGAGAAGGUCAUCUCGUCCUGUCGGACACGUCCAGCUCCUGAUUUCCGUCUACAAAUGAGCAGGGAUGUAAUCCAGUUUCCAUUUGGUGGUUUCUGGUCCAGUUUCGGCUAUCGCGCUGCUGGAUGUCAUCUAAAAAGAUUGUAAUGACGCGGACGAAUUUCAAUGUACGUUUCCAAUCCACCGCCAUUUAGCCGAAAGUGGGGUGACGCGGAGGUGUCGGCCGUUGAGCGGAUUGGGUGUUGGUGGGGAGCAGCGAAUAGAAAUGGAGAACCAAGUGGACCGUCAUUAAUAACAAAGCUGCAAUCCUUGCGUAUCAAUUCACUGGCGCGUGGCGUGAAUUGCGGUUGCAACAUGUAGGAACUGUCUGCUGUCGACUGCAUUGCAUCCGACCAUCGACUACAGAAGUCUACACUUCAAUUCCUGCGACCCAUUUCAAGUCCGGUUGGAAUUCCUCUGGAUUCUGUGGGUUUAUCAGUCGAUAGUCGAGAAGGUCAACUUGUCCCGACAGUUCGUCCAGCAGCCGAUAGCGGUCGUUUCUUCAUUUCCCGUCAACGGUGUUGUCGCCAGCCAACGACAUGAUCGAUAUGCUUGUCAAAAUAUCAGAUAG